AGCGAACGCUGGCGGCAGGCCUAACACAUGCAAGUCGAACGGAUCCUUCGGGAUUAGUGGCGGACGGGUGAGUAACACGUGGGAACGUGCCCUUUGGUUCGGAACAACUCAGGGAAACUUGAGCUAAUACCGGAUGUGCCCUUCGGGGGAAAGAUUUAUCGCCAUUGGAGCGGCCCGCGUCUGAUUAGCUAGUUGGUGAGGUAACGGCCCACCAAGGCGACGAUCAGUAGCUGGUCUGAGAGGAUGAUCAGCCACACUGGGACUGAGACACGGCCCAGACUCCUAAGGGAGGCAGCAGUGGGGAAUCUUGCGCAAUGGGCGAAAGCCUGACGCAGCCAUGCCGCGUGAAUGAUGAAGGUCUUAGGAUUGUAAAAUUCUUUCAGCGGGGACGAUAAUGACGGUACCCGCAGAAGAAGCGCCGGCUAACUUCGUG
rnacentral:rRNA from 1 species